UAAGCCAAACUUAACGAGCAGUCCGGAGGUGUUGCUUGGUAAACGUUGCAACAGGGAACCAUCUUCAAGCAGAAAACGCAUCAGGCUGGAAGACAGCUGCAUACUGUUAGAUACAGAUUUGAACAACGCUGGACAGUCUACGAAUGGAGAAAGUGUGUUGCGCAAUGAUGUCCAGGAUGUUUUAAACAAGGACGAAUGGUCGGAGGAUUUGACGGACAUCUGGGAUCAGAACAGUUUCAGCGAACCAGUCGAAAAAACUGUUGCUGCCGCACCACCGAAUGUUGGAAUAAACGCUUCGGACAAACACAGAGACACUGACGCAAAUGAGUUACGAUCAAA